rnacentral:rRNA from 1 species
AUUGAACGCUGGCGGCAUGCCUUACACAUGCAAGUCGAACGGCAGCGGGGGAGAAGCUUGCUUUUCCUGCCGGCGAGUGGCGAACGGGUGAGUUAUACAUCGGAACGUGCCCUGUAGUGGGGGAUAACUAGUCGAAAGAUUAGCUAAUACCGCAUACGACCUGAGGGUGAAAGUGGGGGACCGCAAGGCCUCAUGCUAUAGGAGCGGCCGAUGUCUGAUUAGCUAGUUGGUGGGGUAAAGGCAUACCAAGGCGACGAUCAGUAGCUGGUCUGAGAGGACGAUCAGCCACACUGGGACUGAGACACGGCCCAGACUCCUACGGGAGGCAGCAGUGGGGAAUUUUGGACAAUGGGCGAAAGCCUGAUCCAGCAAUGCCGCGUGUGUGAAGAAGGCCUUCGGGUUGUAAAGCACUUUUGUCCGGAAAGAAAUGGCUCUGGUUAAUACCUGGGGUCGAUGACGGUACCGGAAGAAUAAGGACCGGCUAACUACGUGCCAGCCGCCGCGGUAA